ACAUUGUUAAAAUAACACACAUCAAAAAGGCAUCAAAAUUACCAAGAUUACAUUAAUCAAAAUGACAUAUUCAUGCCAAACUCAUUAACUAACAUAAACCACAAGUCCACCUAUACAUGCCAUUAUAACCUUGAUCAAGACAUCAUAAACUACCGAUAUAAUCGUUGGAUAGUGUGAUAGAUCUUCAACGAGCUUCCAAACCAGUCGAGCUUCCGAUAAUCUGUAAAGUAAAGAAAAAAUAACUACGUAAGCAAUGAAUGCUUAGUAAGCUCGUAUAAACUUUAAACAUAACAUUUCUUUUUUAAUAAUAAACUUUUUGGGGUAAUUAUAAACCUAUACCAACUUCACAAAUUUUAUCAAACUUUAAAACCAUCAACUCAUAAAUGAGUAAGUUCAUCAAUAUCACAUAUAUUUUUUAUUCCUAGCAUAAUAGG
rnacentral:lncRNA from 1 species